GAUGAACGCUGGCGGCGUGCCUAAUACAUGCCAGUCGAGCGAACAGAUGAGGAGCUUGCUCCUCUGACGUUAGCGGCGGACGGGUGAGUAACACGUGGAUAACCUACCUAUAAGACUGGGAUAACUUCGGGAAACCGGAGCUAAUACCGGAUAAUAUAUUGAACCGCAUGGUUCAAUAGUGAAAGACGGUUUUGCUGUCACUUAUAGAUGGAUCCGCGCCGCAUUAGCUAGUUGGUAAGGUAACGGCUUACCAAGGCAACGAUGCGUAGCCGACCUGAGAGGGUGAUCGGCCACACUGGAACUGAGACACGGUCCAGACUCCUACGGGAGGCAGCAGUAGGGAAUCUUCCGCAAUGGGCGAAAGCCUGACGGAGUAACGCCGCGUGAGUGAUGAAGGUCUUCGGAUCGUAAAACUCUGUUAUUAGGGAAGAACAAAUGUGUAAGUAACUAUGCACGUCUUGACGGUACCUAAUCAGAAAGCCACGGCUAACUACGUG
rnacentral:rRNA from 1 species